rnacentral:snoRNA from 1 species
CAUGUCCAGAGGAGAGAUCGUCUCCCAGGUUUUGGCCGGCCUCGAUCUCGACUACAACCCGGUCGUGUCGGCGCUUGCUGCGCGGGUUGAACCCGUGACUGUUCAGGAGUUGUACACGCAGCUUCUCAGCUUUGACG